UUUCUAAUAGUGAUUAUGAGACUUCAUGGCGGCCUGCUUCGAGCCAUUUUCUUAAAUGCGAUAUUUUCGUCUCACGUAGGCGUGAUGAUAGAUUCACUUACCCACUCAAGUCUUCAAAUAAGCUUUUAUCAAUUUAUUAAGAUGUUUUUUAUCUCCAAGACACAGAACGGCUCCCUUUCUGGACGCUGAUUGUCCCUGGGGCCUUGAGAGUGGAACAGUUUGCAGACCCUCCAUUUGGCGCGAUCUACUGCAGAACUUGUUUGUGUCCUGCUUGGUUUCAGUUGUUCGCAUGACACAAUGGAGGAUAUCAUUUUUGGGGAGGUGUGGAGCAGUGAAUUGCUCCCCACUCCACUGAGCCAUCGUACACAGACCUUUUACACUCGGCACAAUACACCCUGCAGCACACACACAGCACUUACACCGCGACCCCACCUCCUUUAAAACCAAACACAGCACUUAGCAGUAUUUUAGCCUCAAACACACAGCCCACAAAACACACACACACACACACACAUCUUGACCCUGUCUGGAGUGCUAACUGUCAGCAACGUUCAGGGUGGACGUAUAGUUUGUGUCCAUCCUAAAUGUGUCUGGAUAAUUAAAAAU